rnacentral:rRNA from 1 species
AUUGAACGCUGGCGGCAUGCUUUACACAUGCAAGUCGAACGGUAACAGGGAGCUUGCUCCGCUGACGAGUGGCGAACGGGUGAGUAAUGCGUCGGAACGUGCCGAGUAGUGGGGGAUAACGCAUCGAAAGGUGUGCUAAUACCGCAUACGUACUGAGGUAGAAAGUGGGGGACCUUCGGGCCUCACGCUAUUCGAGCGGCCGACGUCUGAUUAGCUAGUUGGUGAGGUAAAGGCUCACCAAGGCGACGAUCAGUAGCGGGUCUGAGAGGAUGUGCCGCCACACUGGGACUGAGACACGGCCCAGACUCCUACGGGAGGCAGCAGUGGGGAAUUUUGGACAAUGGGCGCAAGCCUGAUCCAGCCAUGCCGCGUGUCUGAAGAAGGCCUUCGGGUUGUAAAGGACUUUUGUCCGGGAGCAAAUGCCUGGUGUUAAUAGCACUGGGAGCUGAGAGUACCGGAAGAAUAAGCACCGGCUAACUACGUGCCAGCCGCCGCGGUAACAC